AAGGAUCAUUAACGAAUAUAAUUCGAGGGGUUGUCGCUGGCCUCGCUCGCGCGAGGCAUGUGCACGCUUCUCGUUUUUCUCUCAACUCACCUGUGCACCUAAUGUAGGAUGCCUCUCCUCCGGGAGGGGGGACCUAUGUCUUCGUAACAUCUUCGUGUAGAAAGUCUUUGAAUGUUUACUAUCAUCGAGUCGCGACUUCUAGGAGACGCGAUUCUUUGAGAUAAAAGUUAUUACAACUUUCAGCAACGGAUCUCUUGGCUCUCGCAUCGAUGAAGAACGCAGCGAAAAGCGAUAUGUAAUGUGAAUUGCAGAUCUACAGUGAAUCAUCGAAUCUUUGAACGCACCUUGCGCUCCUCGGUGUUCCGAGGAGCAUGCCUGUUUGAGUGUCAGUAAAUUCUCAACCCCUCUCGAUUAGCUUCGAGAGGGCGCUUGGAUAGUGGAGGUUGCCGGAGACUUGGAUUCGUCCGAGACUCGGGCUCUUCUGAAAUGCAUCGGCUUGCGGUCGACUUUCGACUAUGNGCGACAAGGCUUUCGGCGUGAUAAUGAUCGCCGUUCGCUGAAGCGCAUGACNGAACGUCCCGUGCCUCUAAUACGUCGACCGCUUAUUAUCUCUCCGGAGAGAACGGGGUCUUCCUAAUUGACUUUUGACCUCAAAUCAGGUAGGACUACCCGCUGAACUUAA
rnacentral:rRNA from 1 species